rnacentral:rRNA from 1 species
UACGGGGGGAGCAAGCGUUGUUCGGAUUUACUGGGCGUAAAGGGCGCGUAGGCGGUCGUGACAAGUCACUUGUGAAAUCUCCGGGCUUAACUCGGAACGGUCAAGUGAUACUGUCGGACUAGAGUACAGAAGGGGCAACUGGAAUUCUCGGUGUAGCAGUGAAAUGCGUAGAUAUCGGGAGGAACACCGGUGGCGAAGGCGGCGACCUGGGUUGACACUGACGCUGAGGCGCGAAAGCGUGGGGAGCAAACAGG